GCUGGGCACAGUGUCACAUGCCUGUAAUCCCAGCAUCUUGGGAGGCUGAGAUAGGAGAAUCACAAGUUCAAAGUCAGUCUCAGUAAUCUAGAAUGUCCCUAAGUAACUUAGUGAGACUCUGUCUCAA
rnacentral:sRNA from 1 species